GUGAGCUCGAGCAAAGACAAACAAACAGGUAAGUUUUACUUUGAAAUGACAAAAACUCAAAUAAAAUCAUGAUGUAGAAAAUCAAACCAUGUGAUGGUUUGUUAGCUAAAUUGUGUGCACCCAAAUUAGAAAACAACAAAAUGUGAUAAAAGUGAAUUUUAGUGAAUUUUUUGUCUGAACUGAAACAGGUGGUGGUUGAGGCCUCCACAGUGUCCACCUCUGAGAGUUUAAGACUUAAGUGGAUGUAGGCCCAGUCUCUUUGACGUCAAUCGUUGGUUUCCAAAGAGGCGUCAGCCAAUCAUGUUUCUGUACUGAAAACACUGACUGGAUGUUAUUUUGGAUCAAACUAGAAACAGACAAAGUGACGAUGCAUGUUUUUUUUUCUGCUGAAGGGUCGAAUAUUUUUAACAUGGGGCCUAAUGGGAAUUCCUAGGCUUUUUUUGUAGCUAGCUCCCAGUGGACAUUUGAGGAAUUACACCUUCAUACUGUUUUUAUUUUUUUUUACUGUUUUACCAAUUUCGCAGGGUUUCUGCGGGUUCAACAAGUCAAGUUUAAGUCUUUUAAGAUCAUAAUGAACGUAAUUAAAGAUCCAUUUUACAUCCAUACUGGCAAAAAAAUACAACAGACAAGAAGAGAAACUGAAACAUUUUAUAAUAACUUAAAUUCAGUAACAUUAAUACGUUUUUAAGACCUUUCAAAUUUGUAUUUAAGGCAUUUUAUGAGAUUUUAAGAGAAUUUUAGACAUUUAAAGGCCUUAAAUUCAAAUUAUUGAAUUUUAGACUUUUUAAGACAUUUUAAGACCCAGCGGAAACCCUGUUUAAAUGAAACAGCUUUGAACUUUUACAUGUUAUAAACUUUUCCUGAUUGUCUGCUUAAACUGUGUGACAGCUACAUGGAAAAAGAAGGACUCGGGCAUUUAGGAUGAAUUAAAAGUCAAGUUUUAAAGCGUACCAUACUGAUUAAAGUGUAUAAAUGAUACAAAGGGCUGCGUAAAUUAACUUUUAUGUAAUAUCUCAGUGAAGAAGUACAGAGAGCCUGUUAACCAAGUAUCUCUUCUCCAUUAUCACGAGUUCUUUCUUGCUCAGAAGUACUAUUAUAACUCAAAGUAUUUCCUUUUGAAAGAUAAACCGUCUUUAAUAAAGUGGUCAGCCAAUAAUUUAAAUCUUAAUUUUUCAGUUACAUGAUGGCGGCGCAAUGAUUACUCAUUUACUGCCUGUUCACACACUCAUUACUUUGCUUUCUGCUUCACUUCACCACUUAUUCACAGCCUCAGCAGCAGCUCCAACGUUAUUUAUUUCUGUAACUGAAGAAAUGUUUGGUCCACUCGACGCCCUCUGAAUGUAAAGCUGCUCUGGAGGUCUGAUGGAAGGCACCGCGCGACGCCGUGACGCCAACCCGGACUGUCAAUGCCCCGAGUCAAGGCCCCAAGGAUGAAAGAGCAAGACGCUCAAAGCCGGGAGCAUUAAUUAUUCACAAAGGAGACAGUCAUCUGGAGCAGGUAAAUACGAUUUGCUAUUCUGCUCUUGCUUUAUGCUACAGUUAAAGCUGGAGGGAGGGCGAACGCUCAUUAACAUGCACUCCUUCACUCCUUCACACGAUAAAAACCUGAAACAAACACGAUUUAAGAAGCUGAAUGAAAAAACACACAGAGGGAGGGAGAGAGAGAGAGAGAGAGAGAGAGCUCUGAAACACUCUGUAAGUGUGAACUGUUUUCAUAAACACACUCAAACUGACAGACAGACGAACACGUUUUCCCUCUAGAGAUCAAAUUUACUCUGAAUAUUUAAUCAAAUCUGACAAAUGAAAAAAACACCUAAUUAAUCUUAUGUCAUCAGACUCAUCUUGCACUCAUACAUAUGUGUUUUUUACAGGUUUAUUCUAAUCACAUCCAAUUAAAAUGUACUAGUAACAGUAUUAUUGAUGUGUUGUUAUUGUAGAUGUAAAAAUGCUGCUCGCCCACACACUCAUAAACCUCUUUUUACACCUGGAUUCACAAGUCGAAC
rnacentral:lncRNA from 1 species